rnacentral:rRNA from 1 species
AGGACGAACGCUGGCGGCGUGCUUAACACAUGCAAGUCGAACGCUGAAGCACCAGCUUGCUGGUGUGGAUGAGUGGCGAACGGGUGAGUAAUACGUGAGUAACCUGCCCUUGACUCUGGGAUAAGCCCGGGAAACUGGGUCUAAUACUGGAUGCUACAUGUCACCGCAUGGUGGUGUGUGGAAAGGGUUUACUGGUCUUGGAUGGGCUCACGGCCUAUCAGCUUGUUGGUGAGGUAAUGGCUCACCAAGGCGACGACGGGUAGCCGGCCUGAGAGGGUGACCGGCCACACUGGGACUGAGACACGGCCCAGACUCCUACGGGAGGCAGCAGUGGGGAAUAUUGCACAAUGGGCGAAAGCCUGAUGCAGCGACGCCGCGUGAGGGAUGACGGCCUUCGGGUUGUAAACCUCUUUCAGCAGGGAAGAAGCCACAAGUGACGGUACCUGCAGAAGAAGCGCCGGCUAACUACGUGCCAGCAGCCGCGGUAAUACGUAGGGCGCAAGCGUUGUCCGGAAUUAUUGGGCGUAAAGAGCUCGUAGGCGGUUUGUCGCGUCUGCUGUGAAAGCCCGGGGCUUAACCCCGGGUGUGCAGUGGGUACGGGCAGACUAGAGUGCAGUAGGGGAGACUGGAAUUCCUGGUGUAGCGGUGGAAUGCGCAGAUAUCAGGAGGAACACCGAUGGCGAAGGCAGGUCUCUGGGCUGUUACUGACGCUGAGGAGCGAAAGCAUGGGGAGCGAACAGGAUUAGAUACCCUGGUAGUCCAUGCCGUAAACGUUGGGCACU